rnacentral:rRNA from 1 species
UACGUAGGGUGCAAGCGUUGUCCGGAAUUAUUGGGCGUAAAGAGCUCGUAGGCGGUUUGUCGCGUCUGCUGUGAAAACCCGAGGCUCAACCUCGGGCCUGCAGUGGGUACGGGCAGACUGGAGUCCGGUAGAGGAGUGUGGAAUUCCCGGUGUAGCGGUGAAAUGCGCAGAUAUCGGGAGGAACACCCGUAGCGAAGGCGGCACUCUGGGCCGGUACUGACGCUGAGGAGCGAAAGCGUGGGGAGCAAACAGG